rnacentral:piRNA from 1 species
UGGUAGGAAUUGAAAUCAUCU